CCAAUCGAUUGAUGGUGGGAUCAAGCAUCUACUUUGGCACCGGCGUCCAGGUAAGGAUUUUAAGUUUUCCCCAGUAGGAUUUGGUGUCGAUCCACGAUUUUUCAUCUCAUUGUCUGAACGAAGAAAUCGAUUUGGGCAAUAUUAGUAUUCAACUUCUUCCUCAGGGAGCAUCCGCAUUGGUGACACAUUUUCCCUUGUCAAGGUCUUCAUGACAUUCGCCUCAGUCCCAGACACACCCCUUAUUUUUCCGACCAUUUUCUGGGGCAACUACCAUUUGCGAUGUUUUCGGUGAAGAUCAUAUUGAAUGGAACUACAAGGACCUCAUACACCACCCUUGAAGCAUAUCAACCGAUUCCUUAACAUUCUGCUCCCGUUUGCCUUAUGGAUUACAUGACGUAUAUGUGUUUGUAUGGUAGGUUGUUAUGGCUAUGUGAGCUAUCUAUGUUUUGCUCCCAUUUGCCUUAUGGUCCGUAUUUUUUUUAUUAGGUGAGUUAUGUCUAAAGUUCUUCAUUGUCUUCAAGCUACCUAUGUGAAACCCUU